rnacentral:rRNA from 1 species
UGCAAGUCGAACGGUAACAUAAGAAAAGCUUGCUUUUCUUGAUGACGAGUGGCGGACGGGUGAGUAAGAUUUGGGAAACUACCUGAUAGAGGGGGACAACAGUUGGAAACGACUGCUAAUACCGCAUACAGCCUUAGGGUGAAAGAAGCAAUUCGCUAUCAGAUGUGCCCAAACGGGAUUAGCUAGUAGGUGAGGUAAAGGCUCACCUAGGCGACGAUCUCUAGCUGGUCUGAGAGGAUGAUCAGCCACAUUGGGACUGAGACACGGCCCAGACUCCUACGGGAGGCAGCAGUAGGGAAUAUUGCACAAUGGAGGAAACUCUGAUGCAGCCAUGCCGCGUGUGUGAAGAAGGCCUUCGGGUUGUAAAGCACUUUCGGAGGGGAGGAAAAAAAAUGACGUUACCCUCAGAAGAAGCACCGGCUAACUCCGUGCCAGCAGCCGCGGUAAUACGGAGGGUGCAAACGUUAAUCGGAAUAACUGGGCGUAAAGGGCAUGCAGGCGGUUCAUCAAGUAGGAUGUGAAAUCCCCGGGCUCAACCUGGGAACAGCAUACUAAACUGGUGGACUAGAGUAUUGCAGGGGGAGACGGAAUUCCAGGUGUAGCGGUGGAAUGCGUAGAUAUCUGGAAGAACACCAAAGGCGAAGGCAGUCUCCUGGGCAAAUACUGACGCUCAUAUGCGAAAGCGUGGGUAGCAAACAGGAUUAGAUACCCUGGUAGUCCACGCCGUAAACGAUGUCAAUUAGGAGCUUGGGCAAUAGUCUGGGUUCCGCAGCUAACGCAAUAAAUUGACCGCCUGGGGAGUACGGCCGCAAGGU